rnacentral:rRNA from 1 species
GAUGAACGCUGGCGGCGUGCCUAAUACAUGCAAGUCGAGCGAAUGGAUUAAGAGCUUGCUCUUAUGAAGUUAGCGGCGGACGGGUGAGUAACACGUGGGUAACCUGCCCAUAAGACUGGGAUAACUCCGGGAAACCGGGGCUAAUACCGGAUAACAUUUUGAACCGCAUGGUUCGAAAUUGAAUGGCGGCUUCGGCUGUCACUUAUGGAUGGACCCGCGUCGCAUUAGCCAGUUGGUGAGGCAACGGCUCACCAAGGCAAUGAUGCGUAGCCGACCUGAGAGGGUGAUCGGCCACACUGGGACUGAGACACGGCCCAGACUCCUACGGGAGGCAGCAGUAGGGAAUCUUCCGCAAUGGACGAAAGUCUGACGGAGCAACGCCGCGUGAGUGAUGAAGGCUUUCGGGUCGUAAAACUCUGUUGUUAGGGAAGAACAAGUGCUAGUUGAAUAAGCUGGCACCUUGACGGUACCUAACCAGAAAGCCACGGCUAACUACGUGCCAGCCGCCGCGGUAA